GUCACAUGUCAUCGUCUGAUACAUUAUCCGGUCUUUUGUAACUUAAGUAUUGAUUCUUGUAAACACGCCAAUCCGUAUUACCAGUAACUGAGUCUUUUCUGUGAAAAUUUCCAACCUAGGCAUUUAAAUUUUGUUUCUUUUACAAGUAUUCUGUCCUGUAUUAGAUGAUAGGGUACAGUAAAGGCAUGGUCCAUUUUAGUGUUGAAUCAACUAAUUACAUGGAGGUGAUUUGUCAAUUUGGGAAUUGAGUUGUCAGCAGUUGGUUGCAAAAAGCCUAGAAUGGAUCACAAUUUUAUGCCCCCGUUUGUCUUUGGAAUCCUGGGUUGCUAAUUGUUUACGGAACAUUCUCGUCCGUUCAGGCCACAAAUAACGUAUGACAAAUCUAUGCACAUCGAGCAUGGAGCCGAUUACCAUGUUGUACAUAGAAAUGCUUGAAGAUGGAAUGGACUAGAUGCAUGUUGAAGUAAUGUUCCAGAAAGCGGCAUUGCAGGGGCAAGAAUCCAAGUUGAAAGGCUGAUCAACACUUCAUAUAUUGUUCAACUUGUUUUCUUUGCUUCUUGUUAGAUGGAAUUUGUGGAAGUUGCCGAAAUGUCGGGACGGAGUAAUACGCAAAAUUUGGAGUCGAAAAAAGUGUUUGCAUGUGGUGAAUACUAAGAACGUCUGUUUGCAUUCCCAGAAAUUAAGGCUUGGGACACGAUACAGGCUGUAGAUGGUGGAAUUUGCAUUGCAAGUCAAAAUCGUGUUUUAUUGCCUGUCGACCAUUAAGUAACAUUUCGAGCUAAUAUGUCUUAAAAAUGAUUGCAUCUUAGAUUCUAAAAAUAA